rnacentral:rRNA from 1 species
UACGUAGGGGGCGAGCGUUGUCCGGAUUCAUUGGGCGUAAAGCGCUUUAAGGCGGUUCGCUAAGUCGGGUGUGAAACCUCCAGGCUCAACCUGGAGACGCCACUCGAUACUGGCGUGACUAGAGUUCGGUAGGGGACCACGGAAUUCCUGGUGUAGCGGUGAAAUGCGUAGAUAUGCGGAGGAACACCGAUGGCGGAAGGCAAUCCCCUGGGCCUGCACUGACGCGUCAUGCACG